GGCUGAAUAGCUCAAUGGUAAGAGCAGUCGCCCGGCAAGCGAAAGACUCGAUUCCCGAUUCAGCGA
rnacentral:tRNA from 1 species